GAUGAACGCUGGCGGCGUGCCCAAUACAUGCAAGUCGAGCGAACAGAUGAGGAGCUUGCUCCUCUGACGUUAGCGGCGGACGGGUGAGUAACACGUGGAUAACCUACCUAUAAGACUGGGAUAACUUCGGGAAACCGGAGCUAAUACCGGAUAAUAUAUUGAACCGCAUGGUUCAAUAGUGAAAGACGGUUUUGCUGUCACUUAUAGAUGGAUCCGCGCCGCAUUAGCUAGUUGGUAAGGUAACGGCUUACCAAGGCAACGAUGCGUAGCCGACCUGAGAGGGUGAUCGGCCACACUGGAACUGAGACACGGUCCAGACUCCUACGGGAGGCAGCAAUAGGGAAUCUUCCGCAAUGGGCGAAAGCCUGACGGAGCAACGCCGCGUGAGUGAUGAAGGUCUUCGGAUCGUAAAACUCUGUUAUUAGGGAAGAACAAAUGUGUAAGUAACUAUGCACGUCUUGACGGUACCUAAUCAGAAAGCCACGGCUAACUACGUG
rnacentral:rRNA from 1 species